rnacentral:lncRNA from 10 species
AUGUUAUGUUCAGAACCCUUAUCUGAAGCUCUGGGUCUGAGCUGGAGGUUGAGGCUGCUUCUCUGUGUCAACGUGACUUAGAUCAUUCAAGCUGGAGGCAAAUGUUUCAUUCUUACUGAUAAGGUUUCAAACAGACAGACUUCCAAGAUUUAAUGAAAGCUCAGUAAGAAAGCAGCAGUCACUCGAAAAAUGGGACUGCUGCUUAGACACUACAACAGCAAUGUGUGCUUGGGAGAAAUGUUGCUUCCUGUUAACUUGGAAGCUGAGACUUUCUGUGUGUUUUAUUCCAGCCUGAUGAAUGGGUGGACAAAUUCUUACAAAUAUAUAGUGAAUGCUUACUUUCACAGUAGAAGAAUGAGAAAAUGUAUUAAGAGGAGAUGCAGAUGGAGAACCUGAAGAGAACCAGAGAUGCACAUAUUCAAUGAGGAUUUUCUAUAAGUAAAGGUGAAAAAGUUGAAGCUUUGUGUUAUUAAGAGAUUUACUGAAGCCACGUUCCUGACAUAGCCCCAAUGUACAUGCAGCACGGCUCCCUCCAGGGCCUGUUGCGGUCACCCAGCUCUUGCUCCAGCCAAGCCUCAGCCUUCUCUCUGAUGGAGAUUUGAAGAUAAUGUGAGUUGCUUAUGGUGUUAAGAUGAACUAUGUAGAAAAAAACUAUUGAUCUGUAUGUCAAUAAUUAGAUGACAAGUUAUAGCCUCCCCCAAAUGUUACAAUGCAUGAAUUUUUCUCAAAAAGCAUUUAUACAUUUAAAAAAGAUGAAUGAUGUUGGCAUUAUGGUGAUCCUUUCAUUUCUGUUGCACUAGAAGUAGUUUGGUUGUUCUUUAGAUUGGAGAGGGGAGUAGGGAAAUACCUUCCAGAUGUCCUUAAAAAUAAAGUGAAAAGAUCUGUAUGCUAGAUGGAUCUUGGCUGAAGGAUCAUAGUACAAAAAGUGCCUCAAAUAUAAAUCAUCUUGUGAUUAGAUUUUUAACAAGCCUUCCAGGUAAACCAAAUGACAGCACUCAGUGUCUUAGUAAAUGGUUUCAAAGGAUUAGUUUCCCUAAUAGUUUGCUUCCUCUGACCUGGCACAGAGUUCUCUUUGCCCCCUGGAGAUGAUAUACAUUUUCCCAUGCUCACAGAGAACAGGAUGAGUCAACAAACUUUAGCUAGAAACUCAGCCAGCGAGGUUUCUGCCCUCUUGAGUAAGAACUUCACUGGAUGCUCACCUGGAACUUCUAAUUGAAGCCCUUCUCUGACUCUGAACAAUGUCACCAGUGGUCCAAGAUUCAGAAAAAUUGCCCUAUAUGUGAUGUGUGCAAAAAUUAGGCUUGGGAAUUGUUCCUAAAAUUUACUGUUAUCAACACCGGAAUUUUUAAAAUUUCAAAGAUUCUUUCUUUUUUUUUUUUUUGAAGUAUGUGCUUAUAUUGAAAGUGAUUACAUAUAAAUAUAAAUAUAAAUAAUAUUAAUUUUUGUUUUAAAGAAAAUCAUCUUUUUCUCAUUAUCUUAGGACUAGUUAGGUAUCCAUAAUCCCACAACAGCCACAAAGAAAAAACCAUCUUCAGAAAAAAAGAUAUUUACUAUUUCAAGUAUAACUUUACCCAGACUGUAGCAUUGCUUUAAAUAAAGUUAACACUUCAAGAGAAAACAACAUGUUUUACUAAGGAAAUUUACUAUAAUAUAUAAUUUAUUUUCAAUUAAGUUUUUACUAAAUAAAGCAUUAAUUGAUUUUUUCUAUUUUAUUAAAGUAAACUUUUAACUUUAAAAAAUAUUAUACCAUUAUUUUAACAUAAAAAUAUUAUUUGCAUGUUACUUUGUCACAAGCGUGUAUCCAUUUAUAAUUAUAUAUAAUGUAAUAUAUUUUUAUUUUAUUUUAGUUCUUAAAUAAAAUAUUUAUAUAGUUUCACAUUUUCAACUACAUAUAGGUGUGUGUGUUCAGUUUAUGGCUAUGUGUGUCAUACAUUUCUCAUUAUACUUCUCAUUUUAUGAUGUUGAGAAGUUGAAACCCUGAACACUUG